rnacentral:rRNA from 1 species
UAAGGAAUAUUGGUCAAUGGAGGCAACUCUGAACCAGCCAUGCCGCGUGAAGGAUUAAGGCCCUCUGGGUUGUAAACUUCUUUUAUAUGGGAAGAAAUGUACUUUUUCUAAAGUGCUUGACGGUACCAUAGGAAUAAGCACCGGCUAACUCCGUGCCAGCAGCCGCGGUAAUACGGAGGGUGCAAGCGUUAUCCGGAUUUACUGGGUUUAAAGGGUGCGCAGGCGGAUGAAUAAGUCAGUGGUGAAAUCUCCGAGCUUAACUCGGAAACUGCCGUUGAUACUAUUUGUCUUGAAUAUUGUGGAGGUAAGCGGAAUAUGUCAUGUAGCGGUGAAAUGCUUAGAUAUGACAUAGAACACCAAUUGCGAAGGCAGCUUGCUACACAAUCAUUGACGCUGAGGCACGAAAGCGUGGGGAUCAAACA